CAAUAGCGUAUAUUAAAGUUGUUGCGGUUAAAAGCUCGUAGUUGGAUUUCUGCUGAGGACGACCGGUCCGCCCUCUGGGUGAGUAUCUGGCUUGGCCUUGGCAUCUUCUUGGAGAACGUAGCUGCACUUGACUGUGUGGUGCGGUAUCCAGGACUUUUACUUUUGAGAAAAUUAGAGUGUUCAAAGCAGGUAUUUGCCUGAAUAUUACUCUUGGAAUAAUAAUAUAGGACUUCAGUUCUAGUUUGUUGGUGAUCUGGAACCGGAGUAAUGAUUGAUAGGGACAGUUGGGGUCAUUCAUACUGCAAAGCGAGAGGUGGAAUUCUUGGACCUUUGUAUGAUGAACAACUGCGAAAGCAUUUGACUAGGAUGUUCCCGUUGAUCAAGAACGAAAGUUGGGGGAUCGAAGAUGAUUAGAUACC
rnacentral:rRNA from 1 species